CGCGGGCCCAGCGAGUUAUCUUGAUUUCGGCCAAGCUUUCUGACUGCUCCAAAAAACGAAGAAAAAGAUUCAGGGAGAGUAAGAGGAUGAAGAGAGCUGGUGAAGCAGCUGACCAAAUGGCCCGAGGUGGACAGGACCAACCCUCUGCCCCCGGCUCAGGCCAGAGCUCGGCGAGACCGUCGCUGUUUAACAAGCAUUUGCUAUACGCCACCUUGCAUUAUGACAGCAUGUGACCCACACAGCCAUCCUAGGAAGCAGUUCUCAAGUCACCAAUGGGUAAAAGGCUUCAGUGAUCCACUCCUACAGCCAAAAGGCACUGCUCGGUCUCUUCAGCCUCAGAUGGUUCACUCCUGGAAACAUUUUUCCACUUGGCUUCAUGACACCACAGUCCUGGUCUUUCUCGUCCCAGGUAAGGAGAGUCCUGGUCUUUGUCAACCCAGGUGGCCACUAUUACUUUGUCGUCUUAAUAUUCAGUUCUGGAUCUCUUCUUAUUCUAUACCCUUCCUAGGCACUGUCCCCUCCCACAGCCUCCUUCUCACCUUUUCCAUAACCAUGUCUAGGCCCGGCAGCCCCACAUUUACCACUUGCACACCAGACCUUAUAAUUCCAGGCCUGAAUAUCCACCUGCCCAGGGACACUCCCACUUGGAUGUCCCGAGCACCUCCAUUUUGCCAUGUCUGAAACAGAAUUCAGCAUCAGUUCCUCACAACUGGUCUUCUACAGACUUCCCCAGUAAUCCCUCAACCCACCUGCCAAUAUUUAAGCUGUUUGUAAGCCACUCAUGCAAACAUUCAAUAACCCAACUACGUGUCAUAGAUUGGUCUGAACACCUAGCUGUUAACAUAAAGAUGAGCAUAAAAGACAAAACCCCUGCCCUAUUGAAGCUAGUUCAGUAAUCACACACAUUCCAACCGUGGUAUAUGAGGUGGAGAAGAGGUACAAAGGAAAACGAGAGGGUACCACAGGACUUGACUGAGUGUGGCAGGCCACGGAUGGCUCCCUGACACAGUAACCUUAAGUAACACAUCCUGAGGCUGAGCAGGAAUUCAUUAGGUGGAGACAGGGAGCGAACUCCUGCAGAGAGGAAAGAGGGGCAGAAAGCCUGGCACUCACUGGCACUGUCGAUUCCCCACAUGACCUUUCAAUCCCUUGCCUCUUGAGAGGAACCAUCUCUGCUUUGCUCAUCACUGUUUCCUUGAUGCUGAGUAAAACAUGACUCACAGGAAGGAUGCAAAAACUACAAAAAUGGAGGCCUCACUCCACUACUCCAUUCUGUGACAUAAGCCACGUCAACUCUUUCAACACUCUGGCACCACUUUCAACACUCUGGUACUAGAAUAACUCAGUGUUCUAAUAUGUAAAAUGUAAAUGCUUGCCUUGCAAACCUGCUGAGAAGCAAAUCCAUUAUUUAAUGAAUAAAAAGCACUUGAUAAAAGCACUAUUCCCAAAAUUAAGAAUUAAAUUAUGAGAGAUCUUCAACAGACCAAAAACAAAUGUUCACAGUCCCUGCUUUAUUUCCAUUUGUUCACACACGCUUUAAAAAAAAAAAAAAAAACACAUGCACUCACAC
rnacentral:lncRNA from 10 species